GACGAACGCUGGCGGCGUGCUUAACACAUGCAAGUCGAACGCUGAAGCUCAGCUUUUGUUGGGUGGAUGAGUGGCGAACGGGUGAGUAACACGUGAGUAACCUGCCCCCUUCUUUGGGAUAACGCCCGGAAACGGGUGCUAAUACUGGAUAUUCACUGGUCUUCGCCUGGGGGUUGGUGGAAAGGGUUUUUCUGGUGGGGGAUGGGCUCGCGGCCUAUCAGCUUGUUGGUGGGGUGAUGGCCUACCAAGGCUUUGACGGGUAGCCGGCCUGAGAGGGUGACCGGUAACAUUGGGACUGAGAUACGGCCCAGGCUCGGACGGGGGGGAGCAGUGGGGAAUAUUGCACAAUGGGCGCAAGCCUGAUGCAGCGACGCCGCGGGAGGGAUGGGGGCCUUCGGGUUGUGAACCUCGUUCGCUCAUGGUCAAGCCGCAACAAUGGUUGUGGUGAGGGUAGUGGGUAAAGAAGCGCCGGCUAACUACGUG
rnacentral:rRNA from 1 species